UCUGUAUAGCUCAUGUGAAACAGGGAGCCACCAAAAGUUUGGGGAGCAGGCUAGUGCCGGUUUUGACCACCUGUGGAGCAGUGCUCGCUCCCUAAGGCAUUUUGCCGUCAUAUGAAUGUGUAGGAAGGAGGCCGAAAGCAUUCUGUGCUUCUCCACCACGGCACAGACUUCCCUAGUCUCAUUUGCUGAGAGUAGACAUUCUGAGGGCCAGCAGUGCAGGUGUGAUGUGCCUCAGAGGGUAUGAAGCCCUUAGCCAUCUGGAUAUCAGCUGCGUGGGCAUGAUAUCUAAAAGGCUAAUUGAUUUUUUCACUUUCACCUGACUCUCUCGCCAACCUGCAGAGACAGACAUUGGGUGUAGGACAGUGAACUGAGAAGGAAGCUAUUAAGAUUCUGGCCUUGGCUUAGCUCUCAACUGGCCAUUGGUCUUGCAGUGACUUCAUGGUCAUGACGAUUUUCUUCAAUGUGAGCAGGCGGUUUGGCUAUGUUGCCUUUCAAAACUAUGUCCCUUCUUCCGUGACCACGAUGCUCUCCUGGGUUUCCUUUUGGAUCAAGACAGAGUCUGCUCCAGCCCGGACCUCUCUAGGGAUCACCUCUGUUCUGACCAUGACCACGUUGGGCACCUUUUCUCGUAAGAAUUUCCCGCGUGUCUCCUAUAUCACAGCCUUGGAUUUCUAUAUCGCCAUCUGCUUCGUCUUCUGCUUCUGCGCUCUGUUGGAGUUUGCUGUGCUCAACUUCCUGAUCUACAACCAGACAAAAGCCCAUGCUUCUCCGAAACUCCGCCAUCCUCGUAUCGAUAGCCGUGCCCAUGCCCGUACCCGUGCACGUUCCCGAGCCUGUGCCCGCCAACAUCAGGAAGCUUUUGUGUGCCAGAUUGUUACCACUGAGGGAAGUGAUGGAGAGGAGCGCCCGUCUUGCUCAGCCCAGCAGCCCCCUAGCCCAGGUAGCCCUGAGGGUCCCCGCAGCCUCUGCUCCAAGCUGGCCUGCUGUGAGUGGUGCAAGGGUUUUAAGAAGUACUUCUGCAUGGUCCCCGAUUGUGAGGGCAGUACCUGGCAGCAGGGCCGCCUCUGCAUCCAUGUCUACCGCCUGGAUAACUACUCGAGAGUUGUUUUCCCAGUGACUUUCUUCUUCUUCAAUGUGUUCUACUGGCUUGUUUGCCUUAACUUGUAGGUACCAGCUGGUACCCUGUGGGGCAACCUCUCCAGUUCCCCAGGAGGUCCAAGCCCCUUGCCAAGGGAGUUGGGGGAAAGCAGCAGCAGCAGCAGCAGGAGCAACUAGAGCUUUUCCUGCCCCAUUCCCCAAACAGAAGCUUGCAGAGGGUUUGUCUUUGCUGCCCCUCUCCCCGACCUGGCCCAUUCACUGAAUCUUCUUAGCAGCCCAUUUCAGAUUAUUAAUAAAUGGGCCACCUUCCUCUUCUUCAAGGAGCAUCCGUGAUGCUCGGUGUUAAACAUCAUAGCCACUUAGUGAUCAGCUCCCUAAAACCAUGCCUAAGUACAGGCGGAUUAGCUAUCUUCCAACAAUGCUGACAACCAGACAACUACUGCAUUUUUCCAGAAGCGCACUAUUGCCUUUGUAGUGCUUUCGGCCCAGUUCUGGCCUCAGCCUCAAAGUGCACCGACUAGUUGCUUGCCUAUACCUGGCACCUCAUUAAGAUGCUGGGCAGCAGUAUAACAGGAGGAAAAGAUCCCUCUCCUUUGGUCAGAUUAUUAUGUUCUCAGUUCUCUCUCCCUGCUACCCCUUUCUCUGCAGAUAGAUAGACACUGGCAUUAUCCCUUUAGGAGGAGGGGGGCAGCAAGAGAGCCUAUUUGGGACAGCAUUCCUCUCUCUGCUGCUGUGACAUCUCCCGCUCCUUGCUGGCUCCAUCUUUCGUCUGCACUACCAAUUCAAUGCCCUUCAUCCAAUGGGUAUCUAUUUUUGUGUGUGAUUAUAGUAACUACUCCCUGCUUUAUAUGCCACCUUCUUCCUUCUCUUUGACCCCUGUGACUUUUUCUGUAACUUUCCCAGUGACUUUUCUUUCUGUAACUUUCCCAGUGACUUUCCCUAGCCCUGACCCAGGCACUAGGCCUUGGUGACUUCCUGGGGCCAAGAAAUUAAGGAAACUCGGCUUUGCGACAGGCAUUACUCGCCAUUGAUUGGUGCCCACCUAGGGCACACUGUAGGAGUUCUAUCACUUGCUUGACCCCUGGACCCAUAAACCAGUCCACUGUUAUACCCGGAGUACUCUAAUGCUCACAAUCGAUCAAUCGAAUUCCCUCAAAUUUGUAUGGCACUGGAACUUUGGCAAAGCACUUUUGACAAGUUGUGUCUAGUUGGAGCUUCAUGAUAGCCCUGCGACAUCUUUAGGGCAGGAUUCUUAUCCCCAUUUUGUAGAUGGAAACCCUGAGGCACAGAUUUCUAUGGGACUGUGGAUCUCACUGGAAGCUAUCCAAGAGCCCACUGUCGCCUUCUAGACCACAGGAUAGGGCUAGGCAGCUCAGUUCACCAUGAUUCUAUUCUGUCACCUCUGCUGGCACACCAGUGGCAGGGCCCAGAAUGGCGACCUCUCUUUAGCUCAAUUUCUGGGCCUGAGGUGCUCAGACUGCCCCCAAGAUCAAAUCUCUCCUGGCUGUAGUAACCCAGUGGAAUGAAUUUGGACAUGCCCCAAUGCUUCUAUAUGCUAAGUGAAAUCUGUGUCUGUAAUUUGUUGGGGGGUGGAUAGGGUGGGGUCUCCAUCUACUUUUUGUCACCAUCAUCUGAAAUGGGGAAAUACGUAAAUAAAUAUAUCAGCAAAGC
rnacentral:sRNA from 1 species